GGCUCGGACCCGAGGCCGACGCCGGGCACCCAGCCUCCCGACGCCAGGCUAACGCACCCGGGGAAGGCGAUCCUGGCAGGCAGCCUGGCAGGUGGCAUCGAGAUCUGCAUCACGUUCCCUACCCAAUACGUGAAGACGCAGCAGCAGCUGGACGAGCAUUUGCACCUGCAGCAGUACCGGGGCAUCUGGGUACUGGCAGACGGUCAGCAGCCAUGGCAUCCUGGGCCUGUACCGCGGCGUCAGCUCCCCGCUCCACGGCUCCAUCUCCAAGGUCACUGUCAGGUUCGGAAUGUUGGAGUUCCUCAGCAGCCACGUGCGAGACACUCAGGGACGACUGGACAGCACGUGCAGGCUACUGUGCAGCCUGGGCGCUGGCGUGGCAGAGGCCAUGGUGGUCGUGUGCCCCAGGGGGAUCAUCAAGGUGAGGCUCAUCCACGACCAGACCUCCUCUAACCCCCAAUACAGAGGAUUCUUCCACCGGGUCAGGGAGAUUGUGCGGGAACAAGGGCUGAAAGCGAUGUACCAGGGCCUCACGGCCACUGGGCUGAAGCAGGGCUCGAACCAGGCCAUUUGAUUCUUCGUCAUAACCUCCCUGUGCAAACCAUACCGAGGAGACAGCCCCAACAAGCCCAUGAAUCCACUGAUCACCGUGGUCUUCGGUGUGAUUGCUGGCACAGCCAGUGUCUGCGGGAACACUUCUCUGGAUUGACCUGGAUGCAGGGCCUGGAGGCACACAAAAACUGGAGCACAUGGGACUGUGGCUUGCAGAUCCUGAGGAAUGAAGGACUCAACGCAUUCUACAAAGGGACUGUCCCCCACCUGGGCCGGUCUGCCUGGACGUGGCUAUUGUGUUUAUCAUCUACAAUGAGGUGGUGAAGCUGCUCAGGGAAGAGUGGAAGACGGACUAA